rnacentral:siRNA from 1 species
UGAACCUACACCAGAUAGUGUUA